rnacentral:tRNA from 1 species
GAGGGUACAGCUCAGUGGUAGAGUGCAUGCCUAGCAUGCGUGAGGUCCUGGGUUCAAUUCUCCGUAUUCCCA